GACGAACGCUGGCGGCGUGCCUAAUACAUGCAAGUCGAACGAGAGCGACCGGUGCUUGCACUGGUCAAUCUAGUGGCGAACGGGUGAGUAACACGUGGGUAACCUGCCCAUCAGAGGGGGAUAACAUCCGGAAACGGAUGCUAAAACCGCAUAGGUCUUCGAGCCGCAUGGCUUGAAGAGGAAAAGAGGCGCAAGCCUCUGCUGAUGGAUGGACCCGCGGUGCAUUAGCUAGUUGGUGAGGUAACGGCUCACCAAGGCCGUGAUGCAUAGCCGACCUGAGAGGGUGAUCGGCCACAUUGGGACUGAGACACGGCCCAAACUCCUACGGGAGGCAGCAGUAGGGAAUCUUCCGCAAUGGACGCAAGUCUGACGGAGCAACGCCGCGUGAGUGAAGAAGGUGUUCGGAUCGUAAAACUCUGUUGUUAGAGAAGAACAAGUGCUAGAGUAACUGUUAGCGCCUUGACGGUAUCUAACCAGAAAGCCACGGCUAACUACGUG
rnacentral:rRNA from 1 species